rnacentral:sRNA from 1 species
GAUGAAGAACGCAGCGAAAUGCGAUAAGUAAUGUGAAUUGCAGAAUUCAGUGAAUCAUCGAAUCUUUGAACGCACCUUGCGCUCCUUGGUAUUCCGAGGAGCAUGCCUGUUUGAGUGUCAUUAAAUUCUCAAUCCUUUCUGGGUUUAUUCUCAGCUAGGGUUGGAUAUGGGGGUUUUGCCGGUUUUGCAAAAAGCAAAGUCAGCUCUCCUGAAAGUCAUUAGCAAGACUCUUGUUGCAACUGUCUAUCUGGUGUGAUAAUUAUCUACAUCAUAGAUUGUAUGCAGUUUACUAUGUCUAGCUUCUAACAGUCCAUUGAAUUGGACAAAACUCUGACAAUUUGACCUCAAAUCAGGUAGGACUACCCGC